GCCUGUUUCUUGCCCUCCAGCCCCGCUCCUGCAUAGACUCGGCCCCCGUGAUUCCGGCGUUCUGCCUCUACCCCUGGCUCCCUAGUCGCGCACACUCCCGUGGCUGUAACAGUUUAUUGGCAGCCCAGAGGGGCGAAGGCACCGCGGGGGAGGGAGCUCAGCCUGAGACAUGCAGAGGACCGGGAGCCCCGGGGGACGUCGGGGUGGGGUGGGGAUGGGCAGAGUCUGGGGCUCGUCUGUGUUAUAGCCCAGCCCUGAAAUAAAUAGUAUAUACAGCUAGGGGGCCGGGCGGAGCGGAGGACAUGGGGGUCCCGCCGGGGUCACAGGUCUGAGCAGCGAUCCUGCUUGCUGUAGUGGUCGAACUGGUUCUUCCAGUGCACCAUGUAGGAGCUCCAGCGGUGGAACUCGGCCUUCCACUGGCGCUCCGCCUCGUCGAGCGUGUCGGUGGCGCUGAGCAAUUUGGGGAGGAAGCGGUUCCAGAAGGCGCAGGCCUGGGCGCGCAGCCCCCGCCGCACCUCCAGCGGCCGCAGGUCCAGACUAACGUACUGCUGAGCCCCCGCCGUGUACGGGGGCCAUUGUGGGGCCUUGGGGUCUCGGGGCUCAUUGGGAUCCCCUGUGCGGGCAAAGUUGGCCCAGUAUCGCAUCAGUCGCUGGGCGAAGAUUUUCUCCUCUGCCGUGUAGUUUCGAGAGGGGUCCAGGGGGAUCCCAAAGAUGAACUCGAUCUCGUAGCCGUGGGGCACCCCCAUCCACAGGGGCCAGGAGAGCGUGGAAGCACGGUGUUCAAAGACGUAGGCGUAGACCCGGGCACCCUGGGCAGCCAGUCGCCCAGCCAGCUGGGCCACGGGGCACACGACAUUGUGGUCGCCCACCACAUCGCUCAGGGCCUCCCUCAGGCGUGCCGGGUCCUCGGGAUGCAGCCAGUCUGUGUAAUGCAGGACCACAGCCUCGGCUGCCAGGUCACUUACCUGGGGAACCCCGACCCGCACCCCGGCCAGGAACUCGGCCCGGCUGAUGAGAGACUCGUUGUCUUUGCUGAAGCCUGGGGCCCCGUAAACCAGAAAAUACGAGCCCUCAUCCUUCACCACACCCACCAGCACCUGCAGGCCGUGGAAGUCUCCCGCGUUGAUGAGGGCCUCUGGGGUGUCACUGAGGAAGUCUCCAUCUACCACAGGCACGAAGGAGAACCGGAAGACGCUUUCUUGAGGCAGCACGUGCCAUUCGUGGUUCACCAGGACCUGCGCUGGUCGUGUCCGAAGGCAGGCUACCAGCUCUGUGUCAUUCCCACCAGUGCCGCCUGGAGGACAGCCCACAAGGUGGGCCAGCUGCGUGGCCCUGCGACGGGCCUCUCCCAUGCCCACCGUGGCCCAGGGUCCAUUGGGGGCACCGCUCUGCAGCACGGCCCUGUGGAACAGGCCCCGGCUGGGCGGGGACAGCAGGUGCAUGCCCACCGAGGCGGCUCCCGCGCUCUCCCCAAACAGCGUCACUGAUGUCGGGUCACCCCCGAAGGCUGCCACGUUCUCCUGCACCCACUGCAGGGCCAGCCUCUGAUCCAGGAGACCCACAUUGCCCGGGGCCUCUCGGCUCCCCGGCAGGGCCAGGAAGCCAAAGGCUCCCACCCGGUAGUUCAUGGACACCAGCACAGUCCUCUCGGCCUGUACCAAGAAGCGGCCAUCGUACACGUCCAAGGAGGAGGCCCCACUGUAGAAGCCACCCCCAUAGAUCCAGACGAGGACAGGGGUGGGGGAUGUAGGCCGGGGGUAUGGUGUCCACACGUUGAGGUACAGGCAGUCCUCGCUCAGCUCACGGUUGGGGUUCCACAUCUCGGUGCCCUCAAAACCUGGGUAUAGGGUGUCCACAUAUUGGUAGCAGACACUCUGGAAGGUUGUAGCGUCUACCACCCCUGACCAAGGCUGCUUGGGCUCCGGUGGCAGAAAGCGACGGGGUCCCAUGGGUGGCUCCGCAAAGGGGAUGCCCAGGAAAGCAGAGACAGGGCCCCCGGGGGUCUUCAGGCGAAUGCCCCGCAGCCGGCCCCCACGCACCGUCACCAGCAGCUCUGCAUCCUCCCGGCCCUCAGCCCCCACUCCUCCACCCAGGAGCCAGAGGAGGAGGAGAAGGAGUGGGGAAGCCAGGGAAGGCGUGUGCAGCAGACACUGCGGGGGCCUCAUGGCUGCAGGGCAGGCGGCGUCUGAGGCGGCCGAGCCGGGCCGGGCCGGGCCGCGCCGGGAGCUGGAGGCGGCCGAUGUUCCCCGGCGCAGGCUGAGCCGACUCUGACAGCCGCCGCCUCCGGCCCCCCGCACACACCCCCUCCGGGCCUCACAGCGCCCCCGCCCGCCCCCGCCCACUGUCUCCGCCCCCGCCCCUCCCCGCUCUCCCGGGUGGCCACCUCCCCUCUCUCUCCCUCCCUUGGAGCCGAGACCCGGAGACCCCGGGGCCCAGACGCACUCCAGUGCCAGACGCCGACCGACGACAGAGCGCAGUGACAGACGCGACCCAAAGACCUGCAGCGGCGGAGUAGACACCCACGUGACAGACAGACGGACAGAAGCCCGUGGAGACAGACACGCGCAGACGGACGACCUCAUGCAGUGACAGGCACAGACAAACGCAGGGACGACUUUCACAGACGGACGGACACACUUG
rnacentral:antisense_RNA from 1 species